rnacentral:lncRNA from 1 species
UCCCUGAGCACCUUCAGUGUGUCCGCCGUGGCCUGCGGGCCGCGUGCACGUUGGUGAGAGUUGUAUCCCUCGGUCAUUUCAGAAUCACUAUGGAAGGCUCCCCCACGCUCAGUGAAUGCCCUGGAGCCGAGAUACAGAGGAAGAGUGCUCUGGUCGCACGAAUUGCCUGGGCAUCUGCUUAAAACACAGAUUCCGAUUCAGCAAGUCUGGGUUGGAGCCCAAGAGUCUGCGUUUCUGAUAAGCUCUGGGCCAGAACCGCAGGGGCAAACCUCCUCCUUACAGGAUGCUUUUCAUCCCAAAAAGCAGCAGAAAGGGACUCGCUUCUUGCCAGAGAAACAGGCAGAUGAGCAGCUGCAGCCGAAGGUCGUUUGGAGUCCGCCCUAGUGCGUGCCGCGUCCGAGGACAUCCCAGGCCCUGCCAGCAGCUGUUUGGAAUUCCUGUGGACCCUGGGUCGUGGGAAGCAGGCUCUGCUGGAAACAGGGCCUCUCCGCUCCAGACAACACAGGGAUGGUUUCUGAGUCUUCUCCAGGGAGGCGUUGAGAGAAAGACGGAAUUUCAGUGUUCACUUGCCAUACAACAGGUGCUCACUAAAUGUGGCUUUCAGUGGGAUGGCAUUGAGUGGAGUGACCAUUAUCCUAGAAGCUUGAAAGAACGGGAAUAAAGCAGGAGCCCGUUCUCUCUGUCCCCCCACACACUUCCCUCGCCUGACAAUUCUCUACCACAGCUACAGGAGUUGAACGAAAUUUAUGGUGAGUGUCCACAAUGCAGUUGGGUUGUUUUCUUUUCGCUACUUGCUAUUGUUUCCCGAUUGCGGUAAUAAAAUCAGCUAGAGUCGUUGUAAGUUGCCCA